UAGGGAAUCUUCCACAAUGGACGCAAGUCUGAUGGAGCAACGCCGCGUGAGUGAAGAAGGUUUUCGGACCGUAAAGCUCUGUUGUUGGUGAAGAAGGAUAGAGGUAGUAACUGGCCUUUAUUUGACGGUAAUCAACCAGAAAGUCACGGCUAACUACGUGCCAGCAGCCGCGGUAAUACGUAGGUGGCAAGCGUUGUCCGGAUUUAUUGGGCGUAAAGCGAGCGCAGGCGGAAGAAUAAGUCUGAUGUGAAAGCCCUCGGCUUAACCGAGGAAUUGCAUCGGAAACUGUUUUUCUUGAGUGCAGAAGAGGAGAGUAGAACUCCAUAUGUAGCGGUGGAAUGCGUAGAUAUAUGGAAGAAUACCAGUGGCGAAGGCGGCUCUCUGGUCUGCAACUGACGCUGAGGCUCGAAAGCAUGGGUAGCGAACAGGAUUAGAUACCCUUGGUAGUCCAUGCCGUAAACGAUGAGUGCUAAGUGUUGGGAGGCUUCCGCCUCUCAGUGCUGCAGCUAACGCAUUAAGCACUCCGCCUGGGGGAGUACGACCGCAAGGUUGAAAC
rnacentral:rRNA from 1 species